rnacentral:rRNA from 1 species
AUUGAACGCUGGCGGCAGGCCUAACACAUGCAAGUCGAGCGGAUGAAGGGAGCUUGCUCCUGGAUUCAGCGGCGGACGGGUGAGUAAUGCCUAGGAAUCUGCCUGGUAGUGGGGGAUAACGUCAGGAAACGGGCGCUAAUACCGCAUACGUCCUGAGGGAGAAAGUGGGGGAUCUUCGGACCUCACGCUAUCAGAUGAGCCUAGGUCGGAUUAGCUAGUUGGUGGGGUAAAGGCCUACCAAGGCGACGAUCCGUAACUGGCCUGAGAGGAUGAUCAGUCACACUGGAACUGAGACACGGUCCAGACUCCUACGGGAGGCAGCAGUGGGGAAUAUUGGACAAUGGGCGAAAGCCUGAUCCAGCCAUGCCGCGUGUGUGAAGAAGGUCUUCGGAUUGUAAAGCACUUUAAGUUGGGAGGAAGGGCAGUAAGUUAAUACCUUGCUGUUUUGACGUUACCAACAGAAUAAGCACCGGCUAACUUCGUG